rnacentral:sRNA from 1 species
UUGGAAGGUGGGGCCCCACUGGUGUGUG